rnacentral:rRNA from 1 species
UAAGACGAACCGUGCGAACGUUGUUCGGAAUCACUGGGCUUAAAGGGCGCGUAGGCGGAUGUCCAAGUCAGGGGUGAAAUCCUCCGGCUUAACCGGAGAACUGCUUGUGAUACUGGACGUCUGGAGUGAGGUAGGGGCAUGCGGAACUUCCGGUGGAGCGGUGAAAUGCGUAGAUAUCGGAAGGAACACCGGUGGCGAAGGCGGCGUGCUGGACCUCAACUGACGCUGAGGCGCGAAAGCCAGGGGAGCAAACGGGAUUAGAUACCCCGGUAGUCCUGGCCCUAAACGAUGGGUACUAGACUGUAGACUGAACAUGGGUUUACAGUCGAAGCAAAAGUGCUAAGUACCCCGCCUGGGGAGUAUGGUCGCAAGGCUG